GAUGAACGCUGGCGGCGUGCCUAAUACAUGCAAGUCGAGCGAACGGACGAGGAUCUUGCGGCGUUGACGUUAGGGGCGGAGGGGUGAAUAACACGUGGAAAACCCACCUAUAAGACUGGGAAAACCAGGGGAAACCGGAUCUUACACCGGAGAAGAUCUUGAUGCACAGUGGUGGAAAGUAAAAGACGGCCUUUGUGGCACUUAUAGAUGGAUCCGCGCUGCAUUAGCUAGUUGGUAAGGUAAAGGCUUACCAAGGCAAGGAUGCAUAGCCGGGUUGAGAGACUGAUCGGCCACACUGGAACUGAGACACGGUCCAGACUCCUACGGGAGGCCGCAGUAGGGAAUCUUACGCAAUGGGCGAAAGCCUGACGGAGCAACGCCGCGUGUGUGAUGAAGGUCUUCGGAUCGUAAAGCUCUGUUAUUAGGGAAGAACAGAUGUGUAAGGAAAUGAGGAGAGCUUGACGGUACCUAAUAAGAAAGCCACGGCUAACUACGUG
rnacentral:rRNA from 1 species